rnacentral:tRNA from 1 species
AGGGAUAUAGCUCAGGGGUGGAGCACUUGCCUAACGUGCAAUGCCCUGGGUUCAAUCUCCAGCAUCAUGA